rnacentral:rRNA from 1 species
UUGGGUGGGGCUCGCGGCCUAUCAGCUUGUUGGUGGGGUAAUGGCCUACCAAUGCUUCGACGGGUAGCUGGUCUGAGUAGGACGUAUCAGCCACACUGGGUAUGAGUAACACGGCCCAGACUCCUACGGGAGGCAGCAGUGGGGUAAUCUUGCGCAAUAGGCGAAAGCCUGACGCAGCAACGCCGCGUGAGGGACGAAUGUUCUUUGAAUUGUAAACCUCUUUCAGUAGGGACGAUAAUGACGGUACCUACAGAAGUAAGCACCGGCCAACUACGUGCCAGCAGCCGCGGUGAUACGUAGGGUGCAAGCGUUGUCCGGAUUUAUUGGGCGUAAAGGGCUCGUAGGCGGUUCGACAAGUCGGGUGUGAAACCCCCAGGCUCAACCUGGGGACGCCACUCGAAACUGUCGUGACUAGAGUUUGGUAGGGGUCAACGGAACUCCUGGUGUAGCGGUGGAAUGCGCAGAUAUCAGGAAGAACACCAGUAGCGAAGGCGGUUGACUGGGCCAAUACUGACGCUGAGGAGCGAAAGCGUGGGGAGCGAACAGGAUUAGAUACCCUGGUAGUCCACGCCGUAAACGGUGGGCACUAGGUGUGGGACCUAUUCAACGGGUUCCGCGCCGACGCUAACGCAUUAAGUGCCCCGCCUGGGGAGUACGGCCGCAAGGCUAAAACUCAAAGGAAUUGACGGGGGCCCGCACAAGCG